rnacentral:tRNA from 1 species
UGGGGUGUAGCUAAAUUGGUCUAGCAGCGGUCUUAUAAACCGUGUUAAACACCGAUAAAAACGUGUUAUGCGGGUUCAAGUCCCGUCACCCCAA